rnacentral:misc_RNA from 1 species
GAACUGCGAUACGUAAUGUGACUUGCAGAAUCUCGUGAAUCAUCAAAUCUUUGAACGCAAAUGGCGCCCCCGGGAAUCCCCGGGCGCACGCCUGUCUGAGUAUCAUAUCCCCCCUCCAUCCGCGCGCCCCGCGUGGGCGCGCGGGCGGUGGCGGCCACGCCCCGCGCGCGCCCGCUGAAACCGACUUUUUAUUGCGGGACCCCGCGCAGUCGCCCCCACGCUGUAAGCUUUUGCGGCUCCCCGUGGACGGCGCGCGCAGUGCCCCCCCAAACACUACUACCGUGAUCUCAGAUCAGGCGAGAGGACCCGCUGAACUUAA